rnacentral:rRNA from 1 species
AGUGGGGAAUCUUGGACAAUGGGCGCAAGCCUGAUCCAGCCAUGCCGCGUGAGUGAAGAAGGCCUUAGGGUUGUAAAGCUCUUUUGCCAGGGACGAUAAUGACGGUACCUGGAGAAUAAGCCCCGGCAAACUUCGUGCCAGCAGCCGCGGUAAUACGAAGGGGGCUAGCGUUGUUCGGAUUUACUGGGCGUAAAGCGCACGUAGGCGGAUUGUUAAGUCAGGGGUGAAAUCCCGGAGCUCAACUCCGGAACUGCCUUUGAUACUGGCGACCUUGAGGCUGGAAGAGGUUAGUGGAAUUCCCAGUGUAGAGGUGAAAUUCGUAGAUAUUGGGAAGAACACCAGUGGCGAAGGCGGCUAACUGGUCCAGAUCUGACGCUGAGGUGCGAAAGCGUGGGGAGCAAA